GGACCGCGAGCGGCUGGCUCGGGCUGCGUACCUCCGGAGCAGGGCAAGGAGUCACUGUUUGUGACUGGAACAUUGGGAAUGCCUCCACUAUGGAGAACCUGAUGGCACCAGGCAAUAGUAGUUCUCCCUGAAAUCUGAAUGCUUUUAAAAGAAAAUUGCAUCCCAUUCUGGCCUUCUCUCCGUUCCUCGGACACAACCAGCCCUCACCUCAGAGCUGCUGUGCUUGCCGCUUCCUCAGGCCGGUCUCUCGCCCCUCACCUUUGCAGGGCCGCCUCAGGAGUUACCAGGUGUCUGCGUGAAGGUCACCUCUGCGCAGGCCUUUCCUUGCAUCCAGAACGAGCGGGCCUCCCUCUCAAUCACACUCCAGUGCAUCACCCUGUUUGUCUUCGGAGCUCACAAAACAAGCACAGUUCUUUACGUGUUGUGAAGUUAUGCUCAUGAAAGGUUUCCUCUGCGUAACAGCCAGCCAGAACAAGGACAAGAGCACAUUAUCUGACUCAUGACUCUUAUUUCCGAGGACCCAGAACCAUGCCUGGCACACAGGGAGUGCUCGGAUGUUUUGCUGAAUGAGUGAAUGCCACAGUGAUCGCUUCUUGCUAGCAGCCUGAGACAGGCUGCCGUUCCCAACACAGAAAGCACUGGAACGAUGGUGGGGGAGAACAGGGCACAGCAAAGGGUGGUAGCCCGUUGAAAGAGCCCUCCCAGUAAGGGGGUGGCCAACAGACUUCUGGGGCAGGGAUAUCAAAUGAGCAAAGGGAAGGGAGCGAGGAGAAUGUUAGGGAGCACCUGGGGGGUGGGAAAGACCCAAAGGAGGCCUGCUAGGACCACAGUGUGUAAAGGGGAAACGUCAAGAGAGUAGGUCAGCCCAACCCAAAUUAAAGAAUGAACUUUUUUUUUUUUUUAAAGAUUUUAUUUAUUUAUUUGACAGAGAGAGAUUACAAGUAGGCAGAGA